GACGAACGCNGGCGGCGUGCUUAACACAUGCAAGUCGAACGGUGAAGCGCCUUCCUUUUUGGUGGGUGUGGAUGAGUGGCGAACGGGUGAGUAACACGUGAGUAACCUGCCCCCUUCUUCUGGAUAACCGCAUGAAAGUGUGGCUAAUACGGGAUAUUCUGGGUCUGUCGCAUGGUGGGUCCGGGAAAGGUUUUUUCUGGUGGGGGAUGGGCUCGCGGCCUAUCAGCUUGUUGGUGGGGUGAUGGCCUACCAAGGCGGUGACGGGUAGCCGGCCUGAGAGGGUGGACGGUCACACCGGGACUGAGACACGGCCCAGACUCCUACGGGAGGCAGCAGUGGGGAAUAUUGCACAAUGGGCGCAAGCCUGAUGCAGCGACGCCGCGUGAGGGAUGGAGGCCUUCGGGUUGUGAACCUCUUUCGCCAGUGAAGCAGGCCUGCCUCGUUUGUGGGUGGGUGACGGNAGC
rnacentral:rRNA from 1 species